rnacentral:rRNA from 1 species
AUGGAACAAGGAUGUACAAAGAAAAGAGAAGCAGAAGAGAUUGUACAUGCAAACAAAGCUCAGAAUAGAUCCAAGGUAAUGGACUUAUGUUCUAUACCAUUCUUUUCCCAAAUGAAAAAACAUCUAAUAUUUCCAUUUCUUCCUUUAUUUUUUUUCAUGCAGUGCGAUCAAUUUGAGCAUGUUGAAUCAUUUAUCAAGCUUGCAUUUGAAAUGGCUGACAGUCACAAACAGUGUGUACGUAGAAUGGGUUUUCAAACACUCCUACAAAUAACCAGCAUGUCCAAUAUUGACUCCAUUUACUUCUGCUUGCAAACCAUUUCAACACAACCUCUUGCUCCAUUGAAAUGCCAAAUGGAUUCAAAUUCCCAAUUACAACUACAACUGUUCACAAGAUUUUUGGCAUACCAAUUGGUGGAGUUCCUGUCAUCACGAAACCAUUAG